GCAACAAUACAACAUUGUAAGCUGGUGGUAGAUUUGGCAGAGGUGAUAAUCAAGUGGGAAAGACAGAGAAUUAAGGAGGACAGUGAUCCAGCUGAUGGAUCAGGUGAUGACACACCAGUGUUAAUGAAGAGGGCUGGCUCAGUUGAUCCACCAGGCAAGGUGAAGAAGGCUUGAUACUCUUCUGGUGGAAAACUGAAAAUGUUUUGCUUGCAAAAAUAGCAGGAGAGUGAGGUAGCAGGCUUGCUAGGAGAGGUGCUAUGGAGGAGAUGUGUGGCACUCUUGAAAAUGGUCUUAAGACGGAUGUUUGGCUUGGUUUGGUAAACUUUUGAACACUAGAAAGUUAGCAGCCAAAUUUCAACAACAUAUAUACAGCCUUAAAGUUAUCGGCUUCCUUCUAACUAUACUGAUAUGAGAAUACUUCUAUUCCAAUGGCUGUGAGCAUGAAACAACAUGGCUUUGUGAUGAAGACCCCUUCCAUGAAUCAGUCAAGCACAUGUAUAUCUUUGAUUAAAGCUAGUGAGACAAUCAUUGGUUAUCCCCAUCCAGAAAUGGACCAACUACUGCGGAAGUUCUUAGGGAAGUGUGUACAGACCAAAGUUAUCUCAUCUGCCAGAACAAUCACUGAAGUCCCUUUCGAAGGAAAAUCAACAUCCAGUGGAGUACCUAGGUCUGCGUAGAGGUACUCGUACAUUACUUCAUGACAAUCCUGACAUUCCUGCUGAAAGUUUUUCAGUUGUGGCUCUAGUGAGGCCGUUUACUCAUGAUGUCCCUUGUGACCCGCUGGUAGACAAGAACUCAGAUUACCAACUUGGCAGAGAACCAGAAUUACCUACGUUCAGCAGUGGGGAUACACCGCAUUAGUUAGAAGACAAAGAAUGAUCACAAAACUGAGAAGGACGCUUGACAGCUAGAGACUUAAAUAUUUCCAUGGAAAUGCGGAAUGGUGCCAGUCCUUGUGUAGAGAUCUAGAGCCAUUGUUUCCAUGGAAACAUGAAAUGGUUGUUUCAGCACUAACUACAUGAGAUGGAUGAGAUAGAUUUAGAACUUGGUGUUGCUGCUGAUGAAUCAACACAGAAGGAAUCUCCAAAGAAAAAGAUACAGGACCCAAAACCGAACUUACAGACAUUACUGCAGAGGCAAGCAAAGUUCCUGGAGAAUUGCAGGGAAGUCAAGACUGUUCAGUAUUUGGGGGCUUUAAGCCAGUUGUGUCACAGCUCAGCUGAUCUCAGCCAUGUGUCAUCCCAGUGCAAUACACACAUUUAUGGAGAGUCUAGCCUUCUGUGUUCCACCAGUACAUAUCAGACCAAGUGUACUCAAGUAUUUGGGUCAAACACAUAACCUCUGGUACAGAUCUUGCCUAUUGUUGGAACAGAUAGCAUUUGAUAAUGCUCCAUCAGGGCCGGUGAAGAGAGGCGGGACCAGUGAAUACGAGUUGGAAAAUUCGAGUUCAGAUGCUCCUGGACAGAUUUCAGUUAUUUAGAGAAGUACCAGGGAUCAGAUCAGACAGGUUAACAUACCUGACCAUAGUAGAAGAAACCAGUGGCCUGAAGCAGGUACACAAUUGUCAGCAAGUCAACAUUAAGGCAAACUACAUGAACAAGUUCAAACAUUUGGUUCAGACAGACAGCAGGGAAGUGACAAAAUGAGACUACCCAGAGGGGUGCUCCAAAGUUGAGAAAAUUUCAGGUACUAAAAUACAAAGUUCUGACAGUCAAGAAAAGUAAAGACACAGAUUGCAACGUACAGAUUACAGUUUACAAAUUACAGUGUACAGAUUGCAGUCAAGUCACAGGUAUUUUUCAGGUAACCAACAGACAGUUUAACCAAGACCCAGCUUAGUGUAGUCAUGGUAACUGGGAGACAGUUUAUCAAGGGAUAGGUCUUCAAUUACCUACUUGUAGAGGAUGUUGUACCGCCUGUUUUGCUUGUAAAGGACUUUAAAGAUGAAAGAUGAUGGAGUCAGGGGGUUAGAUAUCAGCAUUACAAAACAUGUGUAUGCAAGUACUAGUCCAGAGCUCCUCAGUCCCAUUGCAAUUUUACUCCUCACUAGAAAGAAUAGGGAUGAGUUUCCAUUUAUAACUGAAGAACACUAGUGUUUGCACAAGACCUGUCUGUUGACCAUGGGUUUCCUGUUGACAACUGGAGAAUGCUUUGGCCCAAACUUCUGUGGAUGGUUUCAUGUGAUGGAGAUGGAGAUGUUAACUUGCUGUUCCCUCUCAGGAUAUGGAGUUACUAUCUCAGCAGAAAGUUCACAUGAUCUCUAGUCCAUCUACUGCUAAUUCCGACCAGCCUGUUACAUGAAAAUGUCCAGCUACUAGUUCUUGUGACUAAUUUGACAAAUAAAUCAGAGGUGUAAUCAAAGUUUACUGAAUAUGGAUAGACAGGUAUUCUGUCAUAGUGUUCGGAAAUGGUGCUGCAGUACAAACCAAAACCGUGCCACAGUCUGUUUUCAGCAAAAUGGACAAAUUCUGUUGUUGUGCAACUUGUGGAAAGGCUAUUUGGGAACUUGGAUACAUUUUGAACAUGUUUGUGAACUGUUCUUAUUCUUACAUGUUCUAGGAAUGCAGUCCAAUGGUCCAACAGUUUAUGAGAAGUUGAAUGAGAAUUUCACUGAUAAAUGAAAGACAGUUCCUAGGGAUAGAACUUGAAUGCUUAAAUGUAACAUUUUACGUUGCAAGGGUUUAUGUGAUUAUCCUUUGUAUAUAAUACAAUACCAUUUAUGUUAUACAGUGUAACUUCCGAAAACCGAACGACCUCCGGACCAGCCUAAAAGUUCGGUAUUUGGAAGUUUCCGGAAUUCAGAAGUUUGGAAAUUGGCAAAGCGGAUAGGGUGCAUUAGAGUUAUCUUUUCUUACACAUAGGAUGAAGAGAUUAUUAUCCUUUUAUGAUAAUUGUACAAGUUUGUAAAGUAAUUAAUUAAUAUAUUAAUGAAUUAAUUACAAACAUUAAGGAUAUUCUAGUAUGUAUAAAUAAAAUACAUACAUACAUACAUACAGAAAUAUCAAAACAUAUCUUUAAUACAUGUAAUAGCAUUUACUCAAAUAUUAUCCACACAGUCCCAAGUUUGUCAAUAUUUAAUUGAUGUUUAUAAUGCAUAGUUUACUCGAUGUUACUAAAUCAGUUAAAACAUCGAUCUUUCUUUCAUUCAAACAUAUAUAAGGUUUUUUACACUUAUAUAAUUA
rnacentral:lncRNA from 1 species